rnacentral:lncRNA from 1 species
UUGCAAAGGGCUAAGCCUUCUUGAGUACAAGCUACAAUAAGCUGACCAUAAGUUUUUUCUGAAUACUGGACUUCUCCAUAAGAUCCUCUAAGAGAUUUUCUAACUCUUUCAGCAAAUAAAGGUGGAAGGCCAUCAAUGAAUUUAGCUUUCCAAUGGUCAUACUUACUUUCGAGUAAAUCCAUAACCCUACUAAGAAAGGUAUCUUUAUACCAUCUAAAUUCGCCUAAGUGUUUACAUUUUAAACCAUUAAGAAGGGUCCUAAUGUUUUCAUACUGAUUAGUAAAUCUU